rnacentral:rRNA from 1 species
UACGGAGGGGGCUAGCGUUGUUCGGAAUUACUGGGCGUAAAGCGCGCGUAGGCGGACCUGCAAGUCGGGGGUGAAAGCCCGAGGCUCAACCUCGGAACUGCCUUCGAUACUGCGGGUCUCGAGUCCGGGAGAGGUGAGUGGAAUUCCUAGUGUAGAGGUGAAAUUCGUAGAUAUUAGGAAGAACACCAGUGGCGAAGGCGGCUCCCUGGCCCGGUACUGACGCUGAGGCGCGAAAGCGUGGGGAGCAAACAGG